rfam:Homo sapiens chromosome 1, GRCh38 reference primary assembly.
GCUGGGCAUGGUGGCUCAUGCCUGUAAUCCCAGCACUUUGGGAGGCUGAGGCAGGAGGAUCAUUUGAGGCCAGGAGUUCAAGACCAGCCUGGCCAACAUGGUGAAACCCUGUCUCUA